rnacentral:rRNA from 1 species
UACGAAGGGGGCUAGCGUUGCUCGGAAUUACUGGGCGUAAAGCGCGCGUAGGCGGCUUUGUAAGUUAGAGGUGAAAGCCCGGAGCUCAACUCCGGAACUGCCUUUAAAACUGCAUCGCUUGAAUCCAGGAGAGGUGAGUGGAAUUCCGAGUGUAGAGGUGAAAUUCGUAGAUAUUCGGAAAGAACACCAGUGGCGAAGGCGGCUCACUGGAGCUGGUAUUGACGCUGAGGUGCGAAAGCGUGGGGAGCAAAGCAGG